UGGAAACUCUUCCACCUUCUCUUGUGUGAAACAGAAAUCUCAGUGAAGGAGGAGGGGAAAGACAGAGAGGCACACAAAGACUCUGUGAGGCAGCAGUCACUCCCAGACAGGACUGUCAAGGAGAAAAGAGCUUUGAAGCAGACGCCAGAGAGUCAAACUACACAGCAGUAAACUACUGUGUGUGUUGCUGACAAAAAAUACCAAAGAGAAGAAAACAACACACCUGAGGACUUCUAUAAGGAAAGAGAGGAGGGUAAAACUGAAAGAUUAAAAGAAGCUUAAAGGAAAAAAGGAAUAUUUGUUUUUGUGCAUCUUCAAAUUUUCCUCAAGUCCUUGUCUGCCAUCAUCAGUGUGUAUGGAAUAAUACUCCCAAUCCUAAUCUCAAACUGACUGCAAGCCUCAGGCAGCAUCUGAAUAGCCCUCCUCUGGGUGAUAAUCUGCAACAGCAAACAAACAAACUUCCAGGGGAGAGGAUCGACAGGUGACUCCUACUGAGAAACAAAUUUAAUGUUUAUCAUAUCUCCUCCACCAUGUCUCCUUAUAAUUUCUGACCAAUAGUCUGGGCUUGGAUUAGUGAGAAAACAACAGAGACUCUUUCAGGUCCUUACCAAGAUGGAUGCCAGAGAAGAGACGCUGAACCUCCUGAGCAAGAUAUGGCUGAAGCUGCAUGAUCUGCCUGGUGCCCACCCUUUAGUUCUGGGUUCCUUCUUCAUCAUCUUAAGCUUCAUCUUCAUGGUCCUGCUCAUGAUGGUGCUGACCUGCGUGAACUGCUGCUGCUGCUGCUGCUGCUGCUGUAAGAACAAGCUGAAGCGACCCGACGUUUGAGUGAAUGUGGAAUGGAAUAUAAUACAGCAUCUAAGCACAAGAUGGUUCAGAACAGAUUGUUCUCUGCAAAGUCCAAAAUAAAUGAAUAAAUAAAUAAAUAAAACUCAUUCUCUAGGAAUCCUGCCCAUGUAUCAUACAUACAGCAGACAAGGUGUGCACUAAAGAGGCCCAACCCUUGAACAACAAGGCAGCUAACAAACACAUAGAUAUUCUGACACACCUGCUAAAGCUGCCAGGCCUUCGGGGACAAUGACAUUGCUCAGAGCAUCCCUGCAUUCUGCAGAGCAACAGCACCACCUCUGGCCUGAGGACAAGGCAGGGCUCUGCUCAACUGUCUUACAAAUAUUCAGGAUCAAACUUGACCACAGCAGAUUAGGAAAAAAAGUGAUCAACACAGUGUGAUGUGAACCCUGAAUUCAAUAUCUGUGGCUGAAUUAAAAUCAAGAGAUAUGGUUCUCCACAGGGUUGUUGUCUCUCUCCACUCUUAUACAUUCUGCACACUGACGAGUGUCACAUUUAUGUUAUAAAAUAGAUUUGUUUUAAAGUUUGCUGACGACACGGCCAUCAUUAGCCUUCUUGAGGAUGGUGAGACAGCACAUGGGCAGCUAGUGGAUGUUUUUAUAAGAUGGUGUGAAAAUUCUUUCCUCCAUAUAAAUGAGUAUGGAGGAAAGACAAAACUAUAGAUAUGGUAAUCGAUUUCAGAAAGUCCCUGUCAAACCCCCCGUCUACUUUUAUUAAGGCAGCUGCCAUCGAGGAGGUAGACAGCUAUGAACAUUUGGAUGUGGUUCUUGACAAUAAAUUACGUUUUGAGUCUCACAUUGACAUCACCUCAAAAACGUUCAUAAGAGGUUAUUCUUUUUAAGAAAGUUGAGAUAUUUUAAUGUCUGCACUGAUGUUUUCUUUUUUACAAAAGUGUAAUUGAAUCGGUUUUAUUCUUUAGUAUCAUUGCUUGGUUCUGGAGCCUUAGUCUGGAUAAUAAAAAUCGCUUGGGCAGUUUAGUGAAAGCUGCUAGCAAAGUUACUGGAUCCCAGCAGGAGGGCCUUUUGGUCAUCUAACCCGAAAGAAAGCUCAUUCUAUUCAUUCUAAUUUGUUUUGUUGCCUUCGGGUCGUGGCUUCAGGGGCCCGUUAGGGAGGAUAAAAGACUUAAAAUGUUGUUUGUCCCUACUGCUGUUCACCUACUAAACAGUAAUGGCCAUUAAGGUGACAGAGUUGUUCUUUUUAUUUGUUUUUCGCUGUUCUUGUUUAACCUAUUUGAAGCUUAUUUGUUUUGGAUUGUGUGAAUCUCUUUUUUGACAUAAGCCAUUGGUUCUGAUUUUGUUUUUGAUGUUUCUCAUGUGGUGUGAUGUCUGUCUUCUGUUGGUGCUCUGGCUGCAAAAUAUAUAUAUAUAUAUAUAUAUAUAUAUAUAUAUAUAUAUAUAUAUAAAGGUUUGUUCAGGACCUUAAUAAUUCUUGUUCUAAAUAAAUGUUAUAGUAUCACAUA